rnacentral:rRNA from 1 species
GAUGAACGCUGACAGAAUGCUUAACACAUGCAAGUCGAUGGGGAAGUGGUGCUUGCACCAUGGUAACCAUGGCGGACGGGUGAGUAACGCGUAAGGAACUUACCUGCGGGACCGGGAUAACAGCAGGAAACUGCUGACAAGACCGGAUAAGGUCAUUAAGCUGCAUAGCUUAGUGAUGAAAGGAGACGCCUGCGGAGAGCCUUGCGUCCUAUUAGCUAGUUGGAGGGGUAACGGCCCACCAAGGCGAAGAUAGGUAGCCGGCCUGAGAGGGUGGACGGCCACAAGGGGACUGAGAUACGGCCCUUACUCCUACGGGAGGCAGCAGUGGGGAAUAUUGGACAAUGGGGGCAACCCUGAUCCAGCAAUUCUGUGUGCACGAAGACGGUUUUCGGAUUGUAAAGUGCUUUCAGCAGGGAAGAAGGAAGUGACGGUACCUGCAGAAGAAGCGACGGCUAAAUACGUGC